rnacentral:piRNA from 1 species
UGUGAACUUCGGGGUAGGCCUUUUGUG